GCCCUCGUAGCUCAGGGGAUAGAGCGUCGCUUUCCUCAACCGUCCGUCGCAGGUUCGAAUCCUGCCGAGGGCG
rnacentral:tRNA from 1 species